GCCCCUAUAGUUCAACGGACAGAAUGCAGGCCUCCGAAGCCUGAUAUCCACGUUCGAUUCGUGGUGGGGGCA
rnacentral:tRNA from 6 species